CCCUCAGUGGUGGCCGAGUGGAGGAACCUGACGGAGCAGAACAGCCCCGACGGCGUCCCCAGGGUGCUGGUGGGGGGCACCCGCCUACGGGACCCCCCCCAAGCUGUUGGCGCUGCUGAAUUCCUCCGGGGUGGGGCUGGUGCUGGGACCCUUCCUGGAGGCGCUGGGGGCCGACCCCCCCGGUUCCGCUAUCGCCCCCCAACUGCUGGACUUCUUGCGCCCCCAAAUCCCCCUGGCCUGGAGUGUGAGUCACCCCAACCCCCCCUGCACCCCCAAAAUGCCCCCCCCGCACCCCUAAAUCCCCCCCUGCAGCCCCCCCCCCCAACUGUUGGGUCUCCUGCACCCCAAGCCCUGGGACCCCCCCAAAUCUCUCCAAACUCCCUUCUGCACCCUACAACCCCCCCCCAGGGACCCCCCUGAACCCCCGCCUUGUGCCCUCAACCCCCGCCUUUGCCCCCCACAUUGUCCCGGGGGGGGUCCAGGUGUCCAAGACUCACCCCCGACCCCCCCCCCAAAACCUACACAUCCCCCCCCCCCCCCCAUGACUCACAUGUCCCCAAGGCACCCAAAUAUUCACGGGGGGGGACGGAUGAUGACACUUAGCUAUGUGGGACCCCCCCCCCUUGCCUGACCCACACAUCCCCCCCCCUCCCAGAGCACCCAAGUAUCGGUGGGGGGGGACACCCACGUGUCCAGGACCCCCCGCAGGCACCCAAAUAUCCAAAGAAAGGGAUGACCCCCAAGUAUCGGUGACCCCCAUGAAACCCAGAUUGGCGGGGGGGGGGGGGGUUGAAAUAUGACAUCAUGACACCCCCCCCCCCCCCCGCAGGUGGGCUCCCCCCUGCAGCACCUGGGGGGGCUGAGCCCCCCCCGCGCCCCCCAGCGGCUGCUGCUGCUCUGGGGCCGCCCUCCCCGGGACCCCCGUCCUCAGUUACGGUGACGAGGUGGGGCUGGGAGACCCCCCCAGCGCCCCCCCGGGCCUGGAGCUGACCCCGAUGCCCUGGGACGUCAUCGAGGGGAUCGAGGAGGGCGACAACAGCACCGAGGCCCGCCUGCUGGAGCUGUGCCGUCACCUGGGUGCCCUGCGGGUGCGGGAGCGGUCAUUGUCGCUGGGGGAGGCAGAGGCCAUCCCCGCCGGCCAGGCGGCCGCUUUCCUGCGGAGCUGGGACCAGAGCGAGCGGUUCCUGGUGGUCCUGAAUCCCGGGAAUCAGCCCCUCCACCUGGCCCUGGAGGACGCCCGCCUGCCCCCCCAAGCCACCCUGCGCCUCAGCACCCACCGUCCGCUCCCCCAGGACCCUCAGGUCGAUCUGGGGAACUUCGAGCUACUGCCUUACGAGGGGCUGCUGCUCAGCUUCCCCUACACCCCAUAGCGCCCGCCCUGCCCCACGGCAUCUGUGGGGCAGGAGCAGGGUGCCCCCCCCACUUCUCCCCACCCCAGCACCCACAGGACAGGGUGACACCCACCCCCCCAGCACCCACAAGUGGAUCGAGCCCCCCCUCUCCCCCCCCAACACCCACAGAACAGGGGGACACCCCCCUCCCUACCCAGCACCCACAAGUGGAGGGGCCCCCAGCACCCAUCAGAGCCUGGGGGGCACCUACAGCACCUACAUGUGGCCUUACAGCCCCCCCCCCCGCCCCCCCCAGCACCCAGAAGCUGGGGGGGAUCCAAUACCCAAUCCCCCUCACCCAUUUUGGGCAGGGGGUCACUUCCCACCCCAUGCACCCCCCCCCAUUUUGCCUCCCCCCCCCGUUUUGGGGGUGCCCCCCCCCAUUCCCCUGGGUCUUUGGGGGGGGUUCCUUCUUCCCCUCCCACACACUCCAGUUUGGGGGGGUCCUUGGCAGUAUUGGGGUCCCCAGGGUGGGGGGGCCCCCCUUUGUCCCUGGGGGGGCUUUUGGUGAAUAAAUGAGCUGCAUUUGUGCCCCUGACUUUGCCUCCAUUUUUGGG
ensembl:lncRNA